rnacentral:rRNA from 1 species
AAUAUUGCACAAUGGAGGGAACUCUGAUGCAGCAACGCCGCGUGAGUGAAGAAGGUUUUCGGAUCGUAAAACUCUGUCAUUGGGGAAGAAUAAAUGACGGUACCCAAUGAGGAAGCCCCGGCUAACUACGUGCCAGCAGCCGCGGUAAUACGUAGGGGGCUAGCGUUAUCCGGAUUUACUGGGCGUAAAGGGUGCGUAGGCGGUCUUUCAAGUCAGAAGUAAAAUUCUACGGCUAAACCGAAGCAGGCUUUUGAAACGGAAGACUUGAGUGCAGGAGAGGAGAGUAGAAUUCCUAGUGUAGCGGUGAAAUGCGUAGAUAUUAGGAGGAAUACCAGUAGCGAAGGCGGCUCUCUGGACUGUAACUGACGCUGAGGCACGAAAGCGUGGGGAGCGAACA